rnacentral:misc_RNA from 1 species
GAUGAAGAACGUAGCGAAAUGCGAUAAGUAAUGUGAAUUGCAGAAUUCAGUGAAUCAUCGAAUCUUUGAACGCACAUUGCGCCCCCUGGUAUUCCGGGGGGCAUGCCUGUCCGAGCGUCAUUACAACCCUCAAGCCCCCGGGUUUGGUGUUGGGGAUCGGCUCUGCCCUUCUGGGCGGUGCCGCCCCCGAAAUACAUUGGCGGUCUCGCUGCAGCCUCCAUUGCGUAGUAGCUAACACCUCGCAACUGGAACGCGGCGCGGCCAUGCCGUAAAACCCCAACUUCUGAAUGUUGACCUCGGAUCAGGUAGGAAUACCCGCUGAACUUAAGCAUAUCAAUAAGCGGAGGA